CCUACGGGAGGCAGCAGUCGAGAAUCAUUCACAAUGGGGGAAACCCUGAUGGUGCGACGCCGCGUGGGGGAAUGAAGGUCUUCGGAUUGUAAACCCCUUUCAUGUGGGAGCAAAUUAAAAAGAUAGUACCCCAAGAGGAAGAGACGGCUAACUCUGUGCCAGCAGCCGCGGUAAUACAGAGGUCUCAAGCGUUGUUCGGAAUCACUGGGCGUAAAGCGUGCGGAGGCUGUGUCGUAAGUCGUGUGUGAAAGGCGCGGGCUCAACCCGCGGACGGCACAUGAUACUGCGAGACUAGAGUAAUGGAGGGGGAACCGGAAUUCUCGGUGUAGCAGUGAAAUGCGUAGAUAUCGAGAGGAACACUCGUGGCGAAGGCGGGUUCCUGGACAUUAACUGACGCUGAGGCACGAAGGCCAGGGGAGCGAAAGGGAUUAGAUACCCCAGUAGUC
rnacentral:rRNA from 1 species